rnacentral:rRNA from 1 species
CUAACACAUGCAAGUCGAGCGCGAACGGUCACUUCGGUGACUCAGUAGAGCGGCGCACGGGUGAGUAACACGUGAGUGAUCUGCCCUGGAGCUCGGAAUAACCUCCCGAAAGGGUGGCUAAUACCGGAUAAGCUCACAGAGCUACGGCUCAGGGGGAAAAGGAGGGGAUCUCGGACCUUCCACUUCAGGAUGAGCUCGCGGACCAUUAGAUCGUUGGUGGGGUAACGGCCUACCAAGUCGAAGAUGGUUAGCUGGUCUGAGAGGACGAUCAGCCACACUGGAACUGAGACACGGUCCAGACUCCUACGGGAGGCAGCAGUGGGGAAUCUUGCGCAAUGGGCGAAAGCCUGACGCAGCCAUGCCGCGUGAGCGAAGAAGGCCUUCGGGUCGUAAAGCUCUGUCCAGAGGGACCGAAAUCCAUCGGGUGCUAAUCAACCCGAUGCUGACGGUACCUCUGAAGAAAGCACCGGUUAAACUCCGUGCCAGCAGCCGCGGUAAUACGGAGGGUGCAAGC